rnacentral:rRNA from 1 species
AGAACGAACGCUGGCGGCAUGCCUAACACAUGCAAGUCGAACGGAUUGUAGCAAUACAAUCAGUGGCGAACGGGUGAAUAACGCGUGGGAACCUACCUCGGAGUUCGGAAUAACCGCGGGAAACUGCGGCUAAUACCGGAUACGGCCUGGAGGGCGAAAGGAGCAAUUCGCUCCGGGAGGGCCCGCGUCCGAUUAGCUAGUUGGUGGGUAAUGGCCUACCAAGGCGAUGAUCGGUAGCUGGUCUGAGAGGAUGAUCAGCCACACUGGAACUGAGACACGGUCCAGACUCCGUACGGGAGGCAGCAGGUGGGGAAUAGUUAGGACAAGUGGGGGCCAACCCUGACUCCAGCAAGUGCCGGCGUGGGUGAUGGAAGGUCCGUUUAGGGUUACGUAAAGUCCCGUUUUAGGGCCGGGGAAGUAGUAAAGU